GACCACAACAUAACCUUAUUUUCUGCCCGUGCGUGCGCUUCAGGUGCGCUUCGAGAUUACAAUGCUAGAACGUUCAUUCCUCCUCUUUUUAGACGCAAAUGUGAUCUUAAAUUAGUCUUGUCAUCACAUAAGAUUCUUCUAUUAUUGUAUCUAGUUUUUUUACACUCCAUCCUGCAGUAAGGUUUAUGAGUCCAAGCAGUUCAAGAGGCCGUGUCUGAUGAGAAGUGGACUUCAAUGGUGGAAAAGGAAACAGGAUGAACCUUUGGAAACCAAUACUCGGAUUUGGCAUCUCAGGUACUGUAAUUAGUCUCGGGAUUGUGGAGUAUUUGAGAAGAACAAUUCAUGGUCAUUUGCUCCAAGAAUCUCCUCUUGCUCACGAAGGAAGAAGGAUAUUUUACAGUAACAGACAAGUCAAAGAUUUCCUCGGUGUUCCAAUCAAAGAGGACUCUAUUGAUACAUGGAAUGGAAGGAUAAAUUUUGACAAUGGUUAUGAAUCUAAACUGAAUUUCCAUGUCAAAGGCCAGCAUAAGGAAGGAUUCAUUCACAUCGAAGGGAGGAAAAAUCAAAGGACUGGUGAUUGGGUUCUCACACAACUGAGUCUCAUGUCAGAGGAUUUAGAGACAAAGCUUUUUAGUAUUAUUCCCCCAGAAAAUGAGAAUAACUCAACUUCAGAGUAGUAACUUUAAUUGGAAAAGAAAAACCCCACCCUAUGGGUUAUCAAUCAAUUUUUAGUUGACUUUGAGCUCCUCCCCUUCCCCACUCAAGUGAUUUGGAGGGGUCAGCCUCAAGGGCUGGGGAUUACUAUCUCUUAUGAAGAUGCCCUCCUUCCCCCUUGUAGAUGAAAACUGGCAGGAUAUGUAACACAACUUUGAAGCAGAUCCAUUACCUUGAAUUAGAGUCCCCAAGGAGAUAAAGUUAGGUGGCGCGUUUUAGAAUGCAAUAGAUGAUCUGCCAUCUUCAUUCUUGUAAUUUAUUAAUGUUGAAUUGAAUAAUGCUGACCUUCCAUUGCACUCUGAAAGUUAAGAAACUCAUUCGGCCAGGACUCUACCUGAGUAUCAUCAAAGAAGCCUUCUUGUGGAACUCGUUCCUGGCAUCACUUGAAACGUCUGAUAUCGCAACAUCAUUGUUGUUUUGCUCGUAUAUGGCUCUUGAAAAAUUUUGUGAAAUGUCACCUUUUUUUCUCAAGUAGGUACGUAUCAGCAAGCAUUCCAUCUGUACAUUGCAUAAGUUACCGAAAAAGAGGGGGUAUAGGGCUGCUUUCAUCCCUGCAAAGUAUGAUGAGAGAUAGGGGGGUGUGCGUUCCAAAGACAAGGAGGCACAAAAAUGCCGGAAAAGUGCCUAAAUUUAUAGGUGGCACCAUACCUCUAACGAUUCUAAUUUGACUCCAAUUAGCAUAUUGUGAUGAAUUAGUCAUAGCUUUUACAUAGUGUUCAGAUCCUGUUUUAACUCUAUGACAUUCAUAGACAUUGUUCUCAAAUUUAUUUUAUGAAUUUUAGAACAACUUAAUUCAUAAAGAAUAAAGCAGUUUGCAUUACCCACCCUCGAACCUUUGUAUCAGCUGUGGCAAAGAUUCAGGAAAAAUACACCUGCAUUUAACAAAUUAUCAAUCGUGUUUCAACUCUAGAAGUCCUAUUUGAAAACCUCUCCAACUUCCUCCUCUCUCAGAAAAAGAGGUAACUAGAAUCACAUUUCGUCUUUCAUGGUACUAUUUUAAAAACGUCGCACCUUCAAGCUCCUAAUCGGUUAAACUUUUGGGAAGUUAUUAUUUUCAUCUCAUCAUACAUGCUCCAAGCUUUUCUAUGGGCUGUAUUCUUGACCUUCUGCUUCUCUAGCAAGUGAAGCAAUACGAAGUAAUUUCACUAGCACAGAUUAAUUAGGUUUUUAAAGGAUAUUUGCAUUGGCAAUACUUACAUUAUAAUCAAGUUUUCAUAAUUUAAUCUCUAAAUUAAUUUCAUAAUAAUUUUGGAAAUAUUAGUCAUUUUUUGUUACUUAAAAACUGAAACUGAUUUUAGCAUUUAGAAAAUUUUUUUGAUGAUGUGCUAUAUGAUGAUACCAUUGAGUUUAUCAACAAUGAAAUUAUCACCUCUAUUUUCAUUCUUCAUGCGGGAAUUAAGGAUCUUAUGCCAUUUGAAUAUCUUUGGCCGUUUUACUGCCGAGAUGUUUAUUUUAAGGAUAUCAGCAUGGGGUUUUUACUUUAUUUUGUUAUUAAUUAAGUACUGGUGUUGCAUUUUGAUAACAUCAAAUUGUUGUUACUCUGUUUUUCUUGUCCAUACAGUGAUCAGUUGAAAUAAAAUUGUAUUACCUACUUACAUAGAAAAAAUGAGUUUGAGAAUGAGAAUGUCUCUGUUUUUCUUGUCCUUACAGUGAUCAGUUGAAAUAAAAUUGUAUUACUUACAUAGAAAAAAUGAGUCUGAGAAUGAAUUUUCACUGACUGAGGCCCCCAGUGAAAACAAUGAGCUUGACAACCUUUUAACCAGUUCAAGUAUUUUUUAAGCAAUUAAGUUAGAGACACUAAUUAGUUUUAUCAAACUGUACAGAACUUCAGUAGUUUAAAAAUCAUUUUUCGGAACGGACCAAACAAUAAAACUAUGGUACCACUAAGACUUGUUUCCUAGCAAGUUUUGUAAUGAGACUAUCUGCAUAAGUCUUAUGGAGCGAAUGAUUUUCUUUCUUGCCUUUAUAUAAACGAGACUGAUAAAAAAAAAAGAAACUAAAGUGCAACAAAAAAUGUGUGUAAUUGGCAGAAGAGAAAGACUUCUUUCCUUUAUAUGUUUUCUCUCUGAAAGUGCCCCUUACAGUUGCAAUCUUCCCAAAUUCCUGACAUCCGUUUUUAAUAAUAAUUAAAUAGUAAUUAAAAUAAAAUAUCUGUAAGAUAUGGGUCAUUCCAGAGAAGCAACAUUCUGCAACAGAAAAUAUAAGCUCUCAGUCUCUGGAAUCGUUUUCAAUUAAAAAUGCUGGAGUAAAUCCACUUAAAAUUAAUUGAAAUAUUGAAAAAUAAGUCAAAAUUUGAAUAUAAUCUGUCUUGCACAUCUCAAAAAAAUAGUGAUCAGAUUCAUGGUCUCAUCCUAGUUCAACAGAGCAUUGAAACUGGCUAAAAUUUGGCUAAGAGUUGCUUGAAAUAUUCUAUUUCAUGAUUUAAAAAAUGAAAGAAACUGGGCAUUUUCAGACUUCUAAAAGUGGCAUGGUAAUUAGAAUAUUGCAUUUGUCCCACCCAUCACACCAGUUAUUUGUUCAUUAACCGAUAGAAAAAAGCUCAUAUGUACCCACUUUUGGUUAGAACAUUUCAUUUAAGCAAAUUUUUAUCUUUGCACGAUGAGCAGACUAUCAGAAUCAUACGCAGUGGGUAAAAAUAUGCUUCGUUUUGGGUAACACCCCUCUUAUCAAUUCUCUCUUAAUUUUGUUUUGAUAAAAAUUGAUGGAAUUUUAAAAACUAAUAGGCCCCAUAGGUGAGUUGCGCUGGUCACAGAAUCCUUUUUUGAUGCUUGAUUCUUGAAGAUAAGCAAAGAAUAAUAAGAUUCGUCCAUUCAGCAACUUCCUACGUUCAGUAGCCAUAUCAAUAUCGCCCUAUGGACAGUAGGGUUUUUGAUGUCAUACACUGCGGUAGUGACACCCUUGGUUUCUUUAACCUUGGUUUCAUCGAAGGUACAUGUUAAAUACACAGUGCAAGUGUGCGUCAUGCUGACUGAUGAAAGCGAGGUGGGAGAAACCAAAGAUGUCACUGCUGCGGUGGAUGACUUCAAAAACCUGACUUUUCAAAGGGCGACAUCUCAGUUAAUACUGAACGUAGAGAGUUGCUGUUUGGACAAAUCUCAUUAUUUUUAGCUGAACUACAAGGAUCAAGCAUCAAAGCACGAUUCUGUGACUAGCGCGACUGACCCAUUUGCUCAGAGAGUUCUUUUUUUUUAAGACAUGCCCUUUCCUAAAUUUACCUAACAGAAUCAGUUGAAAAUUUGCUUUACAUUUGCAAAAUAAUCACACUGGAAUGAAUGAUCUAUGAUGACCUUGUGGAUCGACAGAGAGUAAUGGAGGUUAGGAGUUGCAGAGCGUGAGGGAGUGCUAUAAGGCGACCUAUAUGUGUGUGUAUGAAUGACGUGUACUUUUCUUCAUGUUUUGGCUUUCAAGUCAGAUCACCGAAAAACAACAGAAACUCUGGGGGGUCACUUAAUCCCCUUGUAACGCCACUUUGAGAGCUCUACUUUGAAUACGUUAACUGUGUCAUACAAGCUUAGGUUAGGUUCUAUUUCUGAUUUUUGCUCUGUGUUGCAGUCAUCGAUUUUCUUAGUUUCUAGCUACAGUUAUUGAGAAAUAAAUUGAGUUAAUUUCCAUUAAUACAA